UACAGAGGGUGCGAGCGUUGUCCGGAAUUACUGGGCGUAAAGGGCGCGUAGGCGGCUUGGUAAGUCGGGGGGUGAAAGUCAGCGGCUCAACCGCUGGACUGCCUUCGAGACUGCCUGGCUUGAGCAUGGUAGAGGCUGGCGGAAUUCCCGGUGUAGCGGUGGAAUGCGUAGAGAUCGGGGAAGAACAUCGGUGGCGAAGGCGGCCAGCUGGGCCUUGCUGACGCUGAUGCGCGACAGCGUGGGGGAGCAAACAGG
rnacentral:rRNA from 1 species